AGGGAAUCUUCCACAAUGGACGAAAGUCUGAUGGAGCAACGCCGCGUGAGUGAUGAAGGUUUUCGGAUCGUAAAACUCUGUUGUAAGGGAAGAACCAGUAUGUCAGGCAAUGGACGUACCUUGACGGUACCUUAUUAGAAAGCCACGGCUAACUACGUGCCAGCAGCCGCGGUAAUACGGAGGAUGCAAGCGUUAUCCGGAUUUAUUGGGUUUAAAGGGAGCGUAGGCGGACUAUUAAGUCAGCUGUGAAAGUUUACGGCUCAACCGUGAAAUUGCAGUUGAAACUGGUCGUCUUGAGUGCAGUAAAGGUGGGCGGAAUUCGUGGUGUAGCGGUGAAAUGCUUAGAUAUCACGAAGAACUCCAAUUGCGAAGGCAGCUCACUGGAGUGUAACUGACGCUGAUGCUCGAAAGUGUGGGUAUCAAACA
rnacentral:rRNA from 1 species